ACUGGGAUAACUCAGUUGGUUAGAGCAUGGUUCUGAUGAUGCCAAGGUUACAGGUUCAGUCCCCAUAUUGCAGGG